GACGUAGGGCGCGAGCGUUGUCCGGAUUUAUUGGGCGUAAAGAGCUCGUAGGCGGCUUGUCGCGUCGACUGUGAAAACCCGCGGCUCAACUGCGGGCCUGCAGCCGAUACGGGCAGGCUAGAGUUCGGUAGGGGAGACUGGAAUUCCUGGUGUAGCGGUGAAAUGCGCAGAUAUCGGGAGGAACACCAGUGGCGAAGGCGACUACCUGGCCUGUUCUUGACGCUGAGGCGCGAAAGCUAGGGGAGCAAACGGG
rnacentral:rRNA from 1 species